AUCGUUUCACUUACGAAAAUUUCCCCUUUGGACGACUUACGUCAUCUGGCAAAAAGUUAGGAUCCAGACAGUUCUGCAAGCUUAGUUUCUCAUGCACGUGCUGAGAAAGAAUAAACUUCUUGCUGGUUACUUUUUCUCAACUGUUGCUUUAGUAUUCUCAAUGUCACCAACUUGAAACAGGUUAUCUACCACUUCGUGUUUCUGAAUACGUUUUGAUCUGUCGUAUUUUGCUGAUCAAUCACAAAAUAUUGAACAAAAGACAUGAAACAUAACGAGACAGAAACGACCAGUGAUGGAUAGUAUCCAAUACAGUCGUAAAAGCGCCUUUAUGUCGGUUUUUUAUUGUAUUUUAUACGAAAAGAUCACCCAGAGUAAUUUCUCAGUGUAGCCCUAAAGAA